rnacentral:ncRNA from 1 species
UCCUUGUCGCAUAAGUAGCGACCUGCACGAAUGGUGUAACGACUGCCCCGCUGUCUCCGACAUGGACCCGGUGACAUUGAAUUCUCCGUGAAGAUGCGGAGUACCAACGGCUAGACGGUAAGACCCCGUGCACCUUAACUAUAGCUGCGCAGUGACAACCUUGAUCGAAUGUGUAGGAUAGGUGGGAGGUGGUGACACACAACGACCAAUCCUGAAAGACC